rnacentral:rRNA from 3 species
UACGGAGGGUGCAAGCGUUGUUCGGAAUCAUUGGGCGUAAAGCGCGUGUAGGCGGCUUGGUAAGUCGGGUGUGAAAUCCCGGGGCCCAACCCCGGAACUGCAUUCGAAACUGCCUCGCUAGAGUCCCGGAGAGGAAGGCGGAAUUCCCGGUGUAGAGGUGAAAUUCGUAGAUAUCGGGAGGAACACCAGCGGCGAAGGCGGCCUUCUGGACGGUGACUGACGCUGAGACGCGAAAGCGUGGGGAGCAAACAGG